CCUACGGGGGGCAGCAGUGAGGAAUAUUGGUCAAUGGACGAGAGUCUGAACCAGCCAAGUAGCGUGAAGGAUGACUGCCCUAUGGGUUGUAAACUUCUUUUAUAUGGGAAUAAAAUGUUCCACGUGUGGGAUUUUGUAUGUACCAUAUGAAUAAGGAUCGGCUAACUCCGUGCCAGCAGCCGCGGUAAUACGGAGGAUCCGAGCGUUAUCCGGAUUUAUUGGGUUUAAAGGGAGCGUAGGUGGAUUGUUAAGUCAGUUGUGAAAGUUUGCGGCUCAACCGUAAAAUUGCAGUUGAAACUGGCAGUCUUGAGUACAGUAGAGGUGGGCGGAAUUCGUGGUGGAGCGGUGAAAUGCUGAGAUAUCACGAAGAACUCCGAUUGCGAAGGCAGUUCACUGGACUGCAACUGACACUGAGGCUCGAAAGUGUGGGUAUCAAACAGGAUUAGAUACCCCGGUAGUC
rnacentral:rRNA from 1 species